rnacentral:rRNA from 1 species
GCUUNCAUGCAGUCGAACGGUAACAGGUCUUCGGAUGCUGACGAGUGGCGAACGGGUGAGUAAUACAUCGGAACGUGCCUAGUAGUGGGGGAUAACUACUCGAAAGAGUAGCUAAUACCGCAUGAGAUCUACGGAUGAAAGCAGGGGACCUUCGUGGCCUUGUGCUACUAGAGCGGCUGAUGGCAGAUUAGGUAGUUGGUGGGGUAAAGGCUUACCAAGCCUGCGAUCUGUAGCUGGUCUGAGAGGACGACCAGCCACACUGGGACUGAGACACGGCCCAGACUCCUACGGGAGGCAGCAGUGGGGAAUUUUGGACAAUGGGCGAAAGCCUGAUCCAGCAAUGCCGCGUGCAGGAUGAAGGCCCUCGGGUUGUAAACUGCUUUUGUACGGAACGAAAAGCCUGGGGCUAAUAUCCCCGGGUCAUGACGGUACCGUAAGAAUAAGCACCGGCUAACUACNUGCCAGCAGCCGCGGUAAUACGUAGGGUGCAAGCGUUAAUCGNAAUUACUGGGCGUAAAGCGUGCGCAGGCGGUUUUGUAAGACAGUGGUGAAAUCCCCGGGCUCAACCUGGGAACUGCCAUUGUGACUGCAAGGCUANAGUGCGGCAGAGGGGGAUGGAAUUCCNCGUGUAGCAGUGAAAUGCGUAGAUAUGCGGAGGAACACCGAUGGCGAAGGCAAUCCCCUGGGCCUGCACUGACGCUCAUGCACGAAAGCGUGGGGAGCAAACAGGAUUAGAUACCCUGGUAGUCCACGCCCUAAACGAUGUCAACUGGUUGUUGGGUCUUAACUGACUCAGUAACGAAGCUAACGCGUGAAGUUGACCGCCUGNGGAGUACGGCCGCCAGGUUGAAACUCAAAGGAAUUGACNGGGAACCCNCCCNAACCGGUGGAUGAUGUGGUUUAAUUCNAUGCAACNCGAAAAACCUUACCCACCUUUGACAUGGCAGGAACUUACCANAAAAUGGUUUGGUGCUUCNAAANANAANCCUGCNCACANGGGCUNGCAUGGCUNUNCNNCNCCUCNUGUCCUGAAAUNUUGGGNUUAAAUCCCCCCAANAANNGCAACCCCUUGNCCNUUANUUGCUNCNUUUCNNUUGNA